rnacentral:rRNA from 1 species
GACGAACGCUGGCGGCGUGCUUAACACAUGCAAGUCGAACGGAAAGGCCCUGCUCUUGUGGGGUGCUCGAGUGGCGAACGGGUGAGUAACACGCGAGUAACCUGCCCUUGACUUUGGGAUAACUUCAGGAAACUGGGGCUAAUACCGGAUAGGAGCUCCUGCUGCAUGGUGGGGGUUGGAGAGUGUCGGCGGUUGGGGCUGGACUCGCGGCUUACCAGCUUGUUGGUGGGGUAGUGGCUUACCAAGGCUUUGACGGGUAGCCGGCCUGAGAGGGUGGCCGGCGACAUUGGGACUGAGGGACGGCCCAGACUCCUACGGGAGGCAGCGGUGGGAAGUAUUACACAGUAGGCGGGAGCCUGAUACAGCAACGCCGCGUGCGGAAUGCCGGCCUUCGGGUUGUAAACCGCUGUCGACGGUGACAAAGCGUGAGUGACGGUAAUGGGUAAAGAAGCACCGGCUAACUACGUG